GCCUCGGCAAGCUGAAUGCAGAUGCUGCUGAAAUCCGCUGAUAGUGAUUGUGUGAGCAAACAAGCAAUAUGUGAUAAAAACCGGUAUUAUCACUUUGGAAAGCUCAGCCUGAGAGUGGAGAUGAUGUCUUUUCACACCAGCAAUCAGAGCACCUUGAGAACAUGGCAAAAAUGACAACAUCCACAAAUCUGGAAGAGCGUCUUUCUAAUGAAACCAAUGACAGGCAAGACUAAGAAGUAUAGUGGCGUGGAUACGGCAGCCUAUAAAACUCCAUGCAUAUGGAUGCCUCAUCGCCAUAUGGACGCAAAGACAAGGACA